CUUGGCGACAUUCAAUUCAAGACCAGGCUCCUGAAAAGGAAGAUCAAAGUUACUUUCCCCUAACACUUACAAAUGUCAUCAAGCACCCUAUGUAAAGAUUCCUUCCACCUUAAUUAGUAGACACCCAACAUUGUCUUUUCUAUGUCUAGUAAAUAUCCGUGUUGACAGCAGCCAGAACCACCCAUCUUCCCAAACUACCUCUGCCUGUGUCUAAUCCAGUCAUUUUUGUUACAUUUGGGUAGGGCAGUUGAUUCAUAGUAUCUAACUAACAACAAUCAGCUAUUCUCUUCAGCUGUGCUCAACAGGACCCAGGGCCUCAAAUCUGGAUUUAAAAAUUUGCACUGUGUAAGCAACUGAGAAAAUGUGUACAAUGCAAGAGACUGAGGAAGUUGUAACAAGUUAUCAAACAGAAAUCAUCAUCAGUACUGCUUUGCAACGAUGAAACUUCUCUACAGAAAGACCAGUCUGUUCAUUUAUGAUGCUGGAAAAAAUAAGUAAAUAAAACGGAUAUGGAAGUGCUUAUUCUUAAAUUGAAAUCAGAACACACACUACCUAUUGUUGUAUUCAUUUUCAAAAAGAAUACCAGAAAUCUUCAUGUCAUAGUCAAUAAAAUCUGCAGACUCAUCGACCUGCCAAGUAACAGAGAGUGUUACUGCCUCCCCAUGGCCAAAGCUAACUGGCAGUUACAGGCAGAUGCACAUUAAUUCUUAACUCCCCAAUUUACAGACUACUAUUCCUGAAAUACUACUCACCUUUAGCAGACAAAAUGCACACCAGUACCACAUCCUGUGCUUAAAGAUCUAAUAAUUUAGAUGCAGUUUCUCUAGGCAAACUGAUUUUUAACUUUGUAGUUGGAGUAAAAGCCUUCUUAAAGGUCACCCCAGCCACCUUGAACUUUUUGCAAAGCAACAUCAGAAUUUCCAAGACCUUUUGCAGUGUUUUAGAUGAAAACGGCAGAACAUCUAAUGGAACUCUCAAAUACUACUGCUUGCAGGACAAUGGAUAGACUUUUGAGAGCCAACUACUUAACGAACGAGUCCUUUGCCUUAGCUGAACUUUGUCAAGAAGUUCCACUGUAUUUUUGUUUUUAUUUGCAUGUAUUCCAAACAUUACGUUUGAACAACUACUGCUUUCUAGUAUAAUCUCUACAAAAUGAAUCCAGUUAUCUACAUCCUAACUUUUUAUAUUUGUGCAUGUUGUUGCUGUUGUGUAACUACCUGCCUUAUUUUCUUUCCCACUCUAAUCCUGCAUGCUCAACUACACUGUUAAGUCUUACAAUCACUUCUGAUACAGUGUAUCAUUUUUGCAAUGUAAAUAUGGCAUGAGAUUAUGCAUGUUUUGCAAGCACUUUUAAUUGUUUAUUGUAAGUGCUAUUUAUGUCAAAUGUUGAUGUCAUUUGUCCUGUGUCAUGUCUGAAAAGUGUCUCAGGGCCAGUCCAUAUACAUUAGUAAGCAAAUAAAUAAGUCUAUUGCAGCAAAUAUCA